GGUCUCAUAGCUCAGUUGGUUAGAGCGUUGGCUGUACUAAAGCCUUCCCCUUGCUGGCGUGGGUUCGAAUCCCACCGAGGCCA
rnacentral:tRNA from 1 species